ACGGGGUGCAGCAGGCGCGAAACCUUUGCAAUGUGCGAAAGCACGACAAGGUUAAUCCGAGUGUCUCCUGCUAAAGGAGUCUUUUGUCAGUUGUAGAAUCACUGAUGAAUAAGGGGUGGGCAAGUUCUGGUGUCAGCCGCCGCGGUAAAACCAGCACCUCGAGUGGUCAGGAGGUUUAUUGGGCCUAAAGCAUCCGUAGCCGGUUGCAUAAGUUUUCGGUUAGAUCUAUGCGCUCAACGUAUAGGCCGCCGAAAAUACUGUGCAGCUAGGGAGUGGGAGAGGUACACGGUACUCAAUAGGAAGGGGUAAAAUCCUUUGAUCUAUUGAUGACCACCUGUGGCGAAGGCGGUGUACCAGAACACGUUCGACGGUGAGGGAUGAAAGCUGGGGGAGCAAACCGGAUUAGAUACCCGGGUAGUCCCAGCUGUAAACGAUGCAGACUCGGUGAUGCAUUGGCUUGUGGCCAAUGCAGUGCCGCAGGGAAGCCGUUAAGUCUGCCGCCUGGGAAGUACGUACGCAAGUAUGAAACUUAAAGGAAUUGGCGGGGGAGCAC
rnacentral:rRNA from 2 species